rnacentral:rRNA from 1 species
UACAGAGGUCCCAAGCGUUGUUCGGAUUCACUGGGCGUAAAGGGCGCGUAGGCGGCUCAUCAAGUCGGGGGUGAAAUACUUCAGCUUAACUGGAGAAGUGCCUUCGAUACUGGUGAGCUCGAGGGAGGUAGGGGUCUUUGGAACUUCUGGUGGAGCGGUGAAAUGCGUUGAUAUCAGAAGGAACGCCGGUGGCGAAAGCGAAGGACUGGACCUCUUCUGACGCUGAGGCGCGAAAGCUAGGGGAGCAAACGGG